CCUACGGGGGGCAGCAGUCGGGAAUUUUGGGCAAUGGGCGAAAGCCUGACCCAGCAACGCCGCGUGAAGGAUGAAGUAUUUCGGUAUGUAAACUUCGAAAGGAUGGGAAGAAAACAAUGACGGUACCAUCUAUAAGGUCCGGCUAACUACGUGCCAGCAGCCGCGGUAAUACGUAGGGACCAAGCGUUGUUCGGAUUUACUGGGCGUAAAGGGCGCGUAGGCGGCAUAUUAAGUCAGCUGUGAAAUCUCCGAGCUUAACUCGGAACUGUCAGCUGAUACUGAUGUGCUAGAGUGCGGAAGGGGCAAUCGGAAUUCUUGGUGUAGCGGUGAAAUGCGUAGAUAUCAAGAGGAACACCUGAGGUGAAGACGGGUUGCUGGGCCGACACUGACGCUGAGGCGCGAAAGCCAGGGGAGCAAACGGGAUUAGAUACCCUAGUAGU
rnacentral:rRNA from 1 species